GACGAACGCUGGCGGCGUGCUUAACACAUGCAAGUCGAGCGGUAAGGCCCUUUCGGGGGUACACGAGCGGCGAACGGGUGAGUAACACGUGGGUGACCUGCCCUCAGCUCUGGGAUAAGCCUGGGAAACUGGGUCUAAUACUGGAUAUGACUCCACGGUGCAUGUCGUGGGGUGGAAAGCCUUGUGCGGCUGAGGAUGGGCCCGCGGCCUAUCAGCUUGUUGGUGGGGGAUGGCCUACCAAGGCGACGACGGGUAGCCGGCCUGAGAGGGCGACCGGCCACACUGGGACUGAGACACGGCCCAGACUCCUACGGGAGGCAGCAGUGGGGAAUCUUGCGCAAUGGGCGAAAGCCUGACGCAGCGACGCCGCGU
rnacentral:rRNA from 1 species